AUUGAACGCUGGCGGCAUGCCUUACACAUGCAAGUCGAACGGCAGCACGGGAGCAAUCCUGGUGGCGAGUGGCGAACGGGUGAGUAAGGUAUCGGAACGUGCCCAGUCGUGGGGGAUAACGUAGCGAAAGUUACGCUAAUACCGCAUACGAUCUAUGGAUGAAAGCGGGGGAUCGCAAGACCUCGCGCGAUUGGAGCGGCCGAUAUCAGAUUAGGUAGUUGGGGGGGUAAAGGCUCACCAAGCCGACGAUCUGUAGCUGGUCUGAGAGGACGACCAGCCACACUGGGACUGAGACACGGCCCAGACUCCUACGGGAGGCAGCAGUGGGGAAUUUUGGACAAUGGGCGCAAGCCUGAUCCAGCCAUGCCGCGUGCAGGAUGAAGGCCGUCGGGUUGUAAACUGCUUUUGUACGGAACGAAAAGGUUUGGCUUAAUACGUUGAACUCAUGACGGUACCGUAAGAAUAAGCACCGGCUAACUACGUGCCAGCAGCCGCAGUAA
rnacentral:rRNA from 1 species